AUUUCUGUAGUUGAAUAACAACGAUGGCUUUUCGAGCCAUAGGUCUUGGGUAAAACUAAGUAGAAAUA
rnacentral:tRNA from 1 species